rnacentral:rRNA from 1 species
AGCUAUGGCCAUGCUACCCUGGACAAACCCGAUCCCGUCUGAUCUUGGAAGCUAAGCAGGAUUGGGCCUGGUUAGUACUUGGAUGGGAGGCCACCUAGGAAGACCAAGUACUGUAGGCA